CAAGCUUUGAAGAAGGAAGACCAAAGCUUUGAAGAAAGCUCCUCACAUUCUUUUUGUUUUUCCAUUCAUUUUUUUACCUCUGUUUUUUUUUUUAUAUUUUUUUUUCAUCAUCCCGUCAUCGCCACCCAUUCAACUUUUCAAUCUUUAUACCACGAUUAUACCUUCACUUUGAGAGAGCUUUGCCCUGGCUUCACCCAUUGUUUUGCUUUUCCCUAGCUUCAGUUUGAGAUUGCUAUAUCUCGGCUGGUUGGCUCAAUUAAGGGAAGGGUAGGCAUGCACCAUCUUGAUGAUUCGCAACAAAGUAAAAACUUUACUUUCAAUUGUCAUGGAGAGGGCAAUGAGAUAUAUUCAGUCAACUCAUUGAACUUUCAUCCUAACAUUGGCUGGUGUGCUUAAUUUGUUAUUUGGCAUUUUUCUUUAUAUUGCAGAACACUGGCUGGUGUGCUUAAUUUGUUGUUUAUUUUUUUUUCUAUUGCAAAGCAUUGGCUAGCGUAUUUCGUCUAAUUUGUAUUGUUGGUGGGACUUAUAUUUUGUUGUUUGUUUAAAAUCUUAUACUUUUGUCGUG